CCUAGCUUCUCCCGAUAGUCACGAACUAGUCACGCUUCCAUCUCUACGCGGGCAGCUGGCUCACAGAAAAGCACGCGACUUGGCUUAUCAGACAGCGACAAUCGGCGAAAUGGUCUGAAAAGUGGCAGUGGGAGGGGGGAGUACGAGUAUUUGGGUUAAAAAGGCGUGCACGCAAUUUACUCCGCAAGGCGAGGACCGAAGAAGGGAUUCGUCGUUAAGAUCGCUUGGAGGGGGACUCUCGGUCUCGACCCGUUGAUGAUGCGUUUUAUUAGGAAGGAGUUCGGCUGCACAAGUAACAUAUGUAUCUCCCUCAGCUCCCGCAGCUCUUUCGCGAGCUCUGCCCCUCCGCCAACAGAAGAGGGGAUGCCAUCGGGGCUCCUUUCUGACAGCAGUCCCUCGAAAUAGAGGAAAGUGUUUGCCACAUUUUUUGCUUGGCAGACGCAGAGUGUCAGCCCACUGCGACGAGGGGAUGUUGCAGCCGAAACGAUUUCCAGAGCCACCGGUCCCGACCCUUUGUCUCUCGGUUUCUUUCCCGAACCCCCGGCUGUUACUCACAGUUGCGACGAAAUUGAAAAUAAAUUUUUAAUGAUUUGCUUCUGAA